AUUGAACGCUGGCGGCAUGCUUUACACAUGCAAGUCGGACGAGUCGCGAACGGGUGAGUAAUAUGUUGGAACGUACCGUGGAAUGGGGGAUCUCCUAUCGAAAGAUUGGCUUAUACCGCAUAUUGUUCGAUCGGCCAAUAUGGGAUUGGCUAGUUGGUGGGGUAGAGGCCUACCAAGGCGACGAUCAGGAGCGGGUCUGAGAGGAUGAUCAGCCACACUGGGAGUGAGACACGGCCCAGACGCCUACGGGAGGCAGCAGUGGGGAAUCUUGGACAAUGGGCGCAAGCCUGAGGCAGCCAUGCCGAGUGUCUGAAGAAGGCCUUCGGGGUGUAAAGGACUUUUGUUAGGGAAGCGGUACCUACAGAAGAAGCACCGGCUAACUACGUGCCAGCAGCCGCGGUAAUUC
rnacentral:rRNA from 1 species